AGGAGAAACAGACUUCAGCCAUUACAGUGUUCCUUCCUUUUGUGUUGACAGAAGUCUUCAGAAAGUCUACUUCCAUGACUGGACCUUUGAUAAGAAGAGUUGAAGUACUUAGCAGUCUAAGUGCAGGAUGAUUGGUUUGAGCUUGUCAUGACACUUCAGCUCGUUGGCCUACCCUCUGCAAGAGUGCGGUAAGAAGCAAGUUCUUUGUUACAUAAGUUGAGCCGGGUUAGGAUUGCCCUGGAGAUGGAUCUUCCCAGCACACGUGCUGCAGUCACUGCAGUGUGCCCGUGGAGCAGCCAGAGCUCAGCAGCAAGUGCUGAGAUCUUCCAUGCAGGACCUAGUACUGGGCUUAGUGACAUAAAGCAGAACUGCUGCAACCGCUGCAUGAAGGUGCUUUAAACAGUAGGUACACACAUGUAGAAGUGUCUAAUAGCCUUUUGUAGCAUACAGAGCAUCGUUUUC
rnacentral:lncRNA from 1 species